GUUGUUCCUCCAAUCCUUACGGAGCUAGGGAAGGUUAAGAAUCCAUGGCCUAAUGUUGACGCCCACAGUGGUGUUUUACUGAAUCAUUUCGGUUUGACUGAAGCUAGAAUGACCAGGGAAUAGACAAACAUAUGGAAGCAGAAAAAAGUUAUGUGUCAACCUUUUCAAAACAGAAGAUCAUUUGAGGAAAAUUGAUGGUGGCUAAAACAAGUUAAUCCAUAUGUGCUUUUCACUUACUGUGAGAUUAGCUCUAUCCAGACAAUUUACAAAUUAUGUAUAUCAAUGGAGACCUUUAAACAGAAGACAUUUUUUGUUUUAAUGAAAGAGGAAUUUUAGUCAUGCACUUUGGAAAAAAGAAAAAAAACUUGUACUGUAUAAUGCCAUUGUAAUGAACCAAUGAAUUGUUCCUUAUGUUUAGUUGUUUGCUUGGAAAUGAAAAUGAAUGUAACUAUUUUGCAAUGGGAGCAAAUUCUUUGUUUA